AGGAAACAUUAGUUAAAAUUUAAGCAGAACAUUCAGAAUCAGGUCAGCUCGUGGGUGUGGACCUGAACACAGGUGAGCCCGUGGUAGCAGCAGAAGCAGGCAUUAUGGGAUAACGAUUGUGUAAAGAAACAGCUUCUUCAUUCCUGCACUGAUUGCCACCAACAUUCUCUUGGUUGAUGAGAUCAUGCGAGCUGGAAUGUCUUCUCUGAAAGGUUGAAUUGAAGCUUCCUCUGUAUCUGAGUCUUGAAGACUCUGCAAAGUGAUCCUGAAGAAUACAGCUGUGGAAUUUUUGUCCAAGCUUCAAAUGAGUUUCAAGGGAAUUUUCCCAUGUGAAAAAAGGAGAGAACACUGGCAUCUGUGGAAGUUCUGAAAUUAUAAUUACAGUAUUUUUUAAAAAUUGCACUGAAGUGUACACAGAUAAAGCAGGUCUUUCACCCAGUGAACAGGAUGUUUUGCUUUAGCAGCAGUGACAUAAAAUUCCAUGUUAAAUAAGCAUAUAUUACCUACCUUAUUAAAUAUUCCUUGAAAAAGCAGAUUUUAAUGGUUUAAUUUUAUGUGGACAUAUGUUAAAUUAUUCAGCAGUACCCUAUUGUUAAGCAUCUGGUUUUAAAAUUUUUAUGCUAAUAUAAAUAACGCUUAGUAAUUUAAAAUUUUGGAAGCAUCCCGUUAGUGUAAAUUUCUGAGUAAAUUUAUUGAUCAGUUGGACUUUUCACGCUUUUGAAAUAGCUUUGCUAAAAUGCUCCCCCUACAAAGUUGUAGGAAAUGGGAAGAGGAGUAAACUAGAGGCAAGGGAGUUGAGAGAGCUGGAAGGCAUGGUGGCUAAGGGCUACGGUUAUCAGGUGAAAUUUGAGAUUUGUAGGCUGACUAUAUUUUCAAGCUUCUGAACUUUUGCUUAUGCAAAAUAUUCAUCCCAAAGCCUCUAGCGUCAUAGUUUCCUCACCCAAAUUACUAUGUUUCCACAAGAUUUAUAUAGUUGGUCUAUCUCUGCGGUCCUUGAAAGUGAAGUUGGUGUUACUAGGCUGUGGGUUUUGGGGGCUCAGCAGUGACCUGGAGUGUGCAAAUAAAUGUUAAGUUGAA
rnacentral:lncRNA from 10 species